GACAUGAAGAGACACUAGAGGAUCGCUAAGGAUGAGCAGGACAUGAAGAGACACUAGAGGAUCGCUAAGGAUGAGCAGGACAGGAAGAGACACUAGAGGAUCGCUAAGGAUGAGCAGGACAUGAAGAGACACUGGAGGAUUGCUAAGGAUGAGCAGGACAUGAAGAGACACUAGAGGAUCGCUAAGGAUGAGCAGGACAUGAAGAGGAAGAGGGCUGAUUUCUCAGCAGGCAGGUCACUGGGGGUGAGUUGCUACUAGGUUUAUUGUUAUUUGAGACAGGAGCAAUAAUAAGUCUGGUACAGAAGCCUUGAGUAUAUCUAGCAGACUUUAUUCGUUUGUGGGUCUCCUUUUUGAGCUCGUGUUGAUCCAGGUCUUUGUAAUUGUACUGGUAAAUACAGUAUUUACAUGCCCUCUGUAAUGGCCUGGGAGGAAGGACAAUAUUUCACGAUACACUGAAGCACAUGAGCCACCUCCUCUCCUACCACAGGGUGGUGACAAAACCCCUUGAAUGAAAUGUCCUGCCCUGAACAUUGUCCUAUACACUGAGUGUACAACAAAAUGAAGAACACCUUCUCUUUCCAUGACAUAGACUGACCAGGUGAAUCCAGGUGAAAGCUACCAUCCCUCAUUGAUGUCACCUGUUAAAUCCACUUCAAUCAGUGUAGAUGAAGGGGAGGAGACGGGUUAAAGUUGGAUAUUUAAGCCUUGAGACAAUUGAGACAUGGAUUGUGUACGUGUGCCAUUCAGAAGGUGAACGGGCAAGACAAAAUAUUUAAGUGCCUUUUGAACGGGGUACGGUAGUAGGUGACAGGCACACCGGCCUGGUUGACGACGAUGAUGAAGAGGCAGAUGAUACCAAGGGCGAUGAUGAUGGUGAUGAGGUAGUGGAGGCUGAAGACUUCCUGGACAUUGCUGUGUUUUAUUCCUAAAGGAUGCUGGGAUCACAGUGGCGUCAGCAGACCGGGUCGUUGCCAGACCUCGGCCCACUAAGGACACAGAUGACAAACUGAGUGAGGCUUGUGGUGGAGGAGAACGGAGUGAACGGAGAGGGGGACACGGAGGAGGACACGGAGGACGUAUCCUGUAGACGAGAACCUGUUCACUGGAGAUUAUCUGGACGAGGUAGAGGAGGAGCUCGACACGCUGGAUCUGGACCAAUAAGACAAGGGCUGAAGUUAACUGAAUCGGCUCGUUUUUGAAUUGAAUCAAAUAGAAAUCGGCUCGUUUUUGAAUUGAAUCAAAUAGAAAUCGGCUCGUUUUUUAAUUGAAUCAAAUAGAAAUCGGCUCGUUUUGAAUCGAAUCAACUUAUUUGUGUUGAAUUGUCUCUUGAGUUUGGGCGGCUCACUCCAUGGACAAAAGGCUUAAAAGUGAAUGAUGAUGUUGCACAAUUAACAAUAACAACCUCGCCCUGGGAAUCUCACAGCCCUCUUUGUUCCUCGGCCUACCAAAAGACAAAGAUCCUUUUCUCCAGCAGAACAAUCAGAGGAGUAAAUGUUGACCACUUUACAAACUCUUUUCCUCCUUUUAAAAAUGCAUUUCUUAUUUUAAAAUGUCUGACUGUCUGCCACUCAGAAAUCAGAGAUUAUCAUUCUUGUGGGGCGGCAGGGUAGCCUAGUGGUUAGAGCGUUGGACUAGUAACCAGAAGGUUGCAAGUUCAAACCCCCGAGCUGACAAGGUACAAAUCUGUUGUUCUGCCCCUGAAUAGGCAUUUAACCCACUGUUCCUAGGCCGUCAUUGAAAAUAAGAAUUUGUUCUUAACUGACUUGCCUAGUUAAAUAAAGGUAAAAUAAAAUAAAAAUUUGAUGUGCUAAUCUGCCCUGUCUUUUCCUUCAUAUGGCUUUAAUUUAAACCUGAUCAGAAGUCAGUGGGAAUGUUUUCAAAAUGAAAUAUUUAUUGGGUUGGUUAUAUUGAUUUUGAGUAUAUUUCUUUCUUUU
ensembl:lncRNA